GAAAUGUUCCUAAACGUGACUAUUUGAGGCGAUGAAUCAAGCGUGUUCCCUCCGCCCCCAACCCACCCCCAGACCGAAAAUGUGACUCUGGAAACGGACUUGCAGAGCUGGCUUCGGUUUAUAUGCGGUUCUGACCCCUGUUGACUUUAGGACAAGCCUUCCUGUUUCCAGUACUGCAGCAUCGCCAGACAGCCUCGCCAUGCAAUCGGCUUUCCAGAUACGAUUUCACUCCUCACCAAAGACACUUCUUUAGGGCGAUUUUAGGAUUCUAUCAACGCUAGUAAAGGAACUACUUAAACACGUUGAUUUGUAUCGCCUUCCCUGACUAUGAAACAUUGAAGGGGAAUACUACUCAUCAAUAAAAAAAAUAUAAACUCCUGAUACACCUCAUGGAUGGAUGCAUAGAUGGAUGGAUGGAUCUG
rnacentral:lncRNA from 1 species